rnacentral:rRNA from 1 species
UGGGGAAUAUUGGGCAAUGGGCGAAAGCCUGACCCAGCAACGCCGCGUGAAGGAAGAAGGUCUUUGGAUUGUAAACUCUUGUCCUAUGGGAAGAAGGAAGUGACGGUACCAUGGGAGGAAGCCCCGGCUAACUACGUGCCAGCAGCCGCGGUAAUACGUAGGGGGCGAGCGUUGUCCGGAAUUACUGGGCGUAAAGGGCGCGCAGGCGGCCGAUCAAGUUAGAUGUGAAAUACCUGGGCUUAACCUGGGAACUGCAUUUAAAACUGGUUGGCUAGGAGUGCAGGAGAGGGAAGCGGAAUUCCUAGUGUAGCGGUGAAAUGCGUAGAUAUUAGGAGGAACACCAGUGGCGAAGGCGGCUUUCUGGACUGUAACUGACGCUGAGGCGCGAAAGCGUGGGGAGCGAACAGGAUUAGAUACC